AUACGGAGGAUCCGAGCGUUAUCCGGAUUUAUUGGGUUUAAAGGGUGCGCAGGCGGCCAUUUAAGUCAGCGGUUAAAUCGUGGGGCUCAACCCCAUUCUGCCGUUGAUACUGGGUGGCUUGAUUGCGGUCGAGGUUGGCGGAAUUCGUUGUGUAGCGGGGAAAUGCAUAGAUAUGACGAAGAAACCCGAUUGCGUAGGCAGCUGACCAGACCGCAAAUGACGCUCAUGCACGAAAGUGCGGGGAUCGAACAGGAUUAGAUACCCUGGUAGUCCGCACAGUAAACGAUGAAUACUUGUUUUCGGCGAUAUAAUGUCGGAGGCAAAGCGAAAGCGAUAAGUAUUCCACCUGGGGAGUACGCCGGCAACGGUGAAACUCAAAUGAAUUGGCGGGG
rnacentral:rRNA from 1 species